GACAACCUGGUUGAUCCUGCCAGUAGUCAUAUGCUUGUCUCAAAGAUUAAGCCAUGCAUGUCUCAGUACAAGCCAAAUUAAGGUGAAACCGCGAAAGGCUCAUUAAAUCAGUUAUGGUUCCUUAGAUCGUACCAACAUUUACUUGGAUAACUGUGGUAAUUCUAGAGCUAAUACAUGCAAACAGAGCUUCGACCGGAGACGGAAGAGGCGCUUUUAUUAGAUCAAAACCAAUCGGCGGCGGGUCCGCUUGCGGGCUCGUCGUCGUUUUCACUGACGAAUCUGAAUAACUUUCUGCUGAUCGCACGGUCUUGCACCGGCGACGCAUCUUUCAAAUGUCUGCCUUAUCAACUGUCGAUGGUAGGUUCUGUGCCUACCAUGGUUGUAACGGGUAACGGGGAAUCAGGGUUCGAUUCCGGAGAGGGAGCCUGAGAAACGGCUACCACAUCCAAGGAAGGCAGCAGGCGCGCAAAUUACCCACUCCCGGCACGGGGAGGUAGUGACGAAAAAUAACGAUACGGGACUCAUCCGAGGCCCCGUAAUCGGAAUGAGAACAAUUUAAAUCCUUUAACGAGGAUCAAUUGGAGGGCAAGUCUGGUGCCAGCAGCCGCGGUAAUUCCAGCUCCAAUAGCGUAUAUUAAAGUUGUUGCGGUUAAAAAGCUCGUAGUCGAAUCUGUGUCCCGCGCCGCCGGUUCGUCGCUCGCGGCGUUUAACUGGCGUGUCCGCGGGACGUCCUGCCGGUGGGCUUAGCCUUUUCAUUAAGGCGGCCCAAUCUUAAUCCCGCCGCGGUGCUCUUCACCGAGUGUCGAGGCGGGCCGGCACGUUUACUUUGAACAAAUUAGAGUGCUUAAAGCAGGCUAAAACUUCGCCUGAAUACUUCGUGCAUGGAAUAAUGGAAUAGGACCUCGGUUCUAUUUUGUUGGUUUUCGGAACCCCGAGGUAAUGAUUAAUAGGAACGGAUGGGGGCAUUCGUAUUGCGACGUUAGAGGUGAAAUUCUUGGAUCGUCGCAAGACGGACAGAAGCGAAAGCAUUUGCCAAAAACGCUUUCAUUGAUCAAGAACGAAAGUUAGAGGUUCGAAGGCGAUCAGAUACCGCCCUAGUUCUAACCAUAAACUAUGCCAGCUAGCGAUCCGCCGAAGUUACUUCUAUGACUCGGCGGGCAGCUUCCGGGAAACCAAAGCUUUNGGGUUCCGGGGGAAGUAUGGUUGCAAAGCUGAAACUUAAAGGAAUUGACGGAAGGGCACCACCAGGAGUGGAGCCUGCGGCUUAAUUUGACUCAACACGGGAAACCUCACCAGGCCCGGACACCGGAAGGAUUGACAGAUUGAGAGCUCUUUCUUGAUUCGGUGGGUGGUGGUGCAUGGCCGUUCUUAGUUGGUGGAGCGAUUUGUCUGGUUAAUUCCGAUAACGAACGAGACUC
rnacentral:rRNA from 1 species